AAAAAGACAAAACAUAGGUUUCUGUGCCAACGUUUAACUGUCCGUCUUAUUUUCAUUGUUGUUAGAUGAUAAAAUAUGAUUAAUACUUUAUACGUGACUUAUCUUUUUUUAAUUUUUUUCAUAGUUUUUUCAAAUAAGACGGACGGUCAAACGUUGGACACGGAUUUCCACUGCUGCACUUAUU
rnacentral:pre_miRNA from 1 species